rnacentral:tRNA from 1 species
GGGGAGUUUCCAGAGUGGCCAAAUGGGGCAGACUGUAAAUCUGUUGGCUCAGCCUUCGAAGGUUCGAAUCCUCCACUCCCCA